rnacentral:rRNA from 1 species
AUGUAAAUUUUUGUGUGAAAUUUUAUUUAUUUUAAUAAUAAUUAAUUUUUUUUUUUUGAUUCUCAGUAAUUAGUUUUAUAAAUCAAGUAAGCUUGGAAGUAGUAAUUUUAUAGAGUAUUGACUAAAUUUGUGCCAGCAGUCGCGGUUAUACAAAUAAUACAAAUGAAGAUUUAUUCAGUGGAAGUUAAAUUUUGUGUAAAUAAAAUAAAUAUAAAUUUAUUAGGUGAAAUUUUAAAUUUAUAAGAUUUUAUAAAAAUGUUGUUUAGGCUUGUAAAUUUUAUAUAUAAACUAGGAUUAGAUACCCUAUUAUUUAAAAUGUAAAUUUAAACACUAAAGUAGUAAUAGUUAUGUUCUUGAAACUUAAAAAAUUUGGCGGUAUUUUAGUCUAUUCAGAGGAACCUGUUCUGUAAUCGAUAAUCCACGAUGUACCUCACUUAAAUUUGUUUUCAGUUUAUAUACCGUCGUUGUUAGAAUAUUUUAUUAGAAUAAUAAUUUUCAAUAUUUUAUAUUGUAAUUUAUAUCAGAUCAAGGUGUAGCUUAUAUUUAAGAAGAAAUGGGUUACAAUAAAAUAAUUUAAAUGAAUUUAAAUUUGAAAUGUUUAAUGAAAUUGGAUUUGAUAGUAAAAUUUUAAAGAUUAAAAAUUUGAUUUUAGCUCUAAAAUAUGUACAUAUCGCCCGUCGCUCUUAUUAUUAAGGUAAGAUAAGUCGUAACAUAGUAGAUGUA